rnacentral:rRNA from 1 species
AGCGAACGCUGGCGGCAGGCUUAACACAUGCAAGUCGAACGGGCGUAGCAAUACGUCAGUGGCAGACGGGUGAGUAACACGUGGGAACGUACCUUUUGGUUCGGAACAACUGAGGGAAACUUCAGCUAAUACCGGAUAAGCCCCUUACGGGGAAAGAUUUAUCGCCGAAAGAUCGGCCCGCGUCUGAUUAGCUAGUUGGUGGGGUAAGAGCCCACCAAGGCGACGAUCAGUAGCUGGUCUGAGAGGAUGAUCAGCCACAUUGGGACUGAGACACGGCCCAAACUCCUACGGGAGGCAGCAGUGGGGAAUAUUGGACAAUGGGCGAAAGCCUGAUCCAGCCAUGCCGCGUGAGUGAUGAAGGCCCUAGGGUUGUAAAGCUCUUUUAACGGGGAAGAUAAUGACGGUACCCGUAGAAUAAGCCCCGGCUAACUUCGUGCCAGCAGCCGCGGU